rnacentral:lncRNA from 1 species
UUAAGGUAUUCGGAAUAAAAAGAGGCAAAAGAUACGAAGGGAACAUUCAAAACAAUAUUGUUAACAAAAUACAACAAUAUACAAAAAACAAUAUUUCUUCAGAUCACGUAUCACGUUGAUAAAAAUUAUUAAGCGAUAACAACAAAGCAAAGCGAAGAAUACCAAAAGGACAUGCAGACUAGAAAAUUCGAAAAGAAAAUUGACAACGCCGGGCC